rnacentral:rRNA from 1 species
AGAGUUUGAUCAUGGCUCAGAACGUACGCUGGCGGCACGCCUAACACAUGCAAGUCGAACGAAGUAGCAAUACUUAGUGGCAGACGGGUGAGUAACAUGUAGGUAUCUGCCCUUUGGCCUGGAAUAACACGAGGAAACUUGUGCUAAUACCGGAUAAGUCUUUACGGAGAAAGCUUUAUGCACCAUUGGAUGAGCCCGCACUUGAUUAGUUUGUUGGUGGGGUAAUGGCCUACCAAGACUGUGAUCAAUAGCUGAUUUGAGAGGAUGAUCAGCCACAUUGGGACUGAGACACGGCCCAAACUCCUACGGGAGGCAGCAGUGGGGAAUCUUGCACAAUGGAGGAAACUCUGAUGCAGCGAUGCCGCGUGAGUGAAGAAGGCCCUUGGGUUGUAAAGCUCUUUCGUCGGGGAAGAAAAUGACUGUACCCGAAUAAGAAGGUCCGGCUAACUUCGUGCCAGCAGCCGCGGUAAUACGAAGGGACCUAGCGUAGUUCGGAAUUACUGGGCUUAAAGAGUUCGUAGGUGGUUGAAAAAGUUAGUGGUGAAAUCCCAGAGCUUAACUCUGGAACUGCCAUUAAAACUUUUCAGCUAGAGUAUGAUAGAGGAAAGCAGAAUUUCUAGUGUAGAGGUGAAAUUCGUAGAUAUUAGAAAGAAUACCAAUUGCGAAGGCAGCUUUCUGGAUCAUUACUGACACUGAGGAACGAAAGCAUGGGUAGCGAAGAGGAUUAGAUACCCUCGUAGUCCAUGCCGUAAACGAUGUGUGUUAGACGUUGGAAAUUUAUUUUCAGUGUCGCAGCGAAAGCGAUAAACACACCGCCUGGGGAGUACGACCGCAAGGUUAAAACUCAAAUGAAUUGACGGGGACCCG